rnacentral:rRNA from 1 species
GACGAACGCUGGCGGCGUGCUUAACACAUGCAAGUCGAACGGAAAGGCCCUGCUUUUGUGGGGUGCUCGAUUGGCGAACGGGUGAGUAACACGUGAGUAACCUGCCCUUGACUUUCGGAUAACUUCAGGAAACUGGGGCUAAUAUCGUAUAGCAUCUCCUGCUCCAUUGUGGGGGUUGGAAAGUUUCGGCGGUUGGGGAUGGACGCGCGGCUUAUCAGCUUGUUGGUUGGGUAGUGGCUUACCCAGGCUUUGACGGGUAGCCGGCCUGAGAGGGUGACCGGCGACAUUGGGCCUACGAUAGGGAGCAGACUCCUACGGGAGGCAACAGUGGGGAGUCUUGCACAGUGGGCGGAAGCCUGAUGCAGAAGCGCCGCGUGCGGGAUGACGGCCUUCGGGUUGUAAACCGCUUUCGCCUGUGACGAAGCGUGAGUGACGGUAAUGAGUAAAGAAGCACCGGCUAACUACGUG